rnacentral:rRNA from 1 species
GAUGAACGCUGGCGGCGUGCCUAAUACAUGCAAGUCGAGCGAACGGACGAGAAGCUUGCUUCUCUGAUGUUAGCGGCGGACGGGUGAGUAACACGUGGAUAACCUACCUAUAAGACUGGGAUAACUUCGGGAAACCGGAGCUAAUACCGGAUAAUAUUUUGAACCGCAUGGUUCAAAAGUGAAAGACGGUCUUGCUGUCACUUAUAGAUGGAUCCGCGCUGCAUUAGCUAGUUGGUAAGGUAACGGCUUACCAAGGCAACGAUGCAUAGCCGACCUGAGAGGGUGAUCGGCCACACUGGAACUGAGACACGGUCCAGACUCCUACGGGAGGCAGCAGUAGGGAAUCUUCCGCAAUGGGCGAAAGCCUGACGGAGCAACGCCGCGUGAGUGAUGAAGGUCUUCGGAUCGUAAAACUCUGUUAUUAGGGAAGAACAUAUGUGUAAGUAACUGUGCACAUCUUGACGGUACCUAAUCAGAAAGCCACGGCUAACUACGUGCCAGCAGCCGCGGUAAUACGUAGGUGGCAAGCGUUAUCCGGAAUUAUUGGGCGUAAAGCGCGCGUAGGCGGUUUUUUAAGUCUGAUGUGAAAGCCCACGGCUCAACCGUGGAGGGUCAUUGGAAACUGGAAAACUUGAGUGCAGAAGAGGAAAGUGGAAUUCCAUGUGUAGCGGUGAAAUGCGCAGAGAUAUGGAGGAACACCAGUGGCGAAGGCGACUUUCUGGUCUGUAACUGACGCUGAUGUGCGAAAGCGUGGGGAUCAAACAGGAUUAGAUACCCUGGUAGUCCACGCCGUAAACGAUGAGUGCUAAGUGUUAGGGGGUUUCCGCCCCUUAGUGCUGCAGCUAACGCAUUAAGCACUCCGCCUGGGGAGUACGACCGCAAGGUUGAAACUCAAAGGAAUUGACGGGGACCCGCACAAGCGGUGGAGCAUGUGGUUUAAUUCGAAGCAACGCGAAGAACCUUACCAAAUCUUGACAUCCUUUGACAACUCUAGAGAUAGAGCCUUCCCCUUCAGGGGACAAAGUGACAGGUGGUGCAUGGUUGUCGUCAGCUCGUGUCGUGAGAUGUUGGGUUAAGUCCCGCAACGAGCGCAACCCUUAAGCUUAGUUGCCAUCAUUAAGUUGGGCACUCUAAGUUGACUGCCGGUGACAAACCGGAGGAAGGUGGGGAUGACGUCAAAUCAUCAUGCCCCUUAUGAUUUGGGCUACACACGUGCUACAAUGGACAAUACAAAGGGCAGCGAAACCGCGAGGUCAAGCAAAUCCCAUAAAGUUGUUCUCAGUUCGGAUUGUAGUCUGCAACUCGACUGCAUGAAGCUGGAAUCGCUAGUAAUCGUAGAUCAGCAUGCUACGGUGAAUACGUUCCCGGGUCU